rnacentral:rRNA from 1 species
AACGCAGGUGGUUUGGUAAGUCAGGGGUGAAAGUCCGCAGCUUAACUGCGGCACUGCCUCUGAUACUGCCUUUCUUGAGUGCAUGAGGGGGAAGCGGAAUUCCGAGUGUAGAGGUGAAAUUCGUAGAUAUUCGGAGGAACACCGGUGGCGAAGGCGGCUUCCUGGCAUGUAACUGACACUCAUGUUCGAAAGCGUGGGUAGCAAACAGGAUUAGAUACCCUGGUAGUCCACGCCCUAAACGAUGGGCACUAGGUGUGGGAGGUAUCGACCCCUUCCGUGCCGCAGCUAACGCAUUAAGUGCCCCGCCUGGGGAGUACGGCCGCAAGGUUGAA